GACCCAGUGGCGAAGUGGUCUCGCAUCCGCUCAGCUUUACAAAUUGCUGGAUACGUUUCAGUGGAAGACACCCGUUCGAUUCGGGUCUGGGUCA